rnacentral:rRNA from 1 species
UACGGGGGGGGCAAGCGUUGUUCGGAAUUACUGGGCGUAAAGGGCUCGUAGGCGGCCAACUAAGUCAGACGUGAAAUCCCUCGGCUUAACCGGGGAACUGCGUCUGAUACUGGAUGGCUCGAGUGUGGGAGAGGGAUGCGGAAUUCCAGGUGUAGCGGUGAAAUGCGUAGAUAUCUGGAGGAACACCGGUGGCGAAGGCGGCAUCCUGGACCACGACUGACGCUGAUGAGCGAAAGCCAGGGGAGCAAACGGG